rnacentral:rRNA from 1 species
AGGUGAUGGACAACAGGUUGAUAUUCCUGUACUACCGAUAACCGUUUGAGAGAUGGGAUGACACAGUAGGAUAAGCUAAGCACACUGUUGGUUAUGUGUGCCCAAGCAUUGAGGCAGUCAAAGUAGGUAAAUCCGCUUUGAUAAUGCUGGGAUGUGAUGGGGAGCGAAAUUUAGUAGCGAAGUAGCUGAUUUCACACUGUCAAGAAAAGUCUCUAUCGAGGUUAAAGGUACCCGUACCGCAAACCGACACAGGUGGGUGAGGAGAGUAUCCUAAGGCCAGCGAGAGAACGGUUGUUAAGGAACUCGGCAAAAUGACCCCGUAACGUAGGGAUAAUGGGUGCCACCAUCCGGUGGCCGCAGAGAAUAGGCCCAAGCGACUGUUUACC